GGGCUUAUAGCUCAGUUGGUAGAGCACUACAUUCGCAUUGUAGAGGUGGUGGGUUCGAAUCCCACUAAGUCCACCA
rnacentral:tRNA from 4 species